AACGACUCUCGGCAACGGAUAUCUCGGCUCACGCAUCGAUGAAGAACGUAGCAAAAUGCGAUACUUGGUGUGAAUUGCAGAAUCCCGUGAACCAUCGAGUUUUUGAACGCAAGUUGCGCCCGAAGCCAUCCGGUCGAGGGCACGUCUGCCUGGGCGUCACGC
rnacentral:rRNA from 10 species